AUUGAACGCUGGCGGCAUGCCUUACACAUGCAAGUCGAACGGUAACAGGUUAAGCUGACGAGUGGCGAACGGGUGAGUAAUACAUCGGAACGUGCCCAGUAGUGGGGGAUAGCCCGGCGAAAGCCGGAUUAAUACCGCAUACGACCUAAGGGUGAAAGGGGGGGAUCGCAAGACCUCUCGCUAUUGGAGCGGCCGAUGUCAGAUUAGCUAGUUGGGGGGGUAAAAGCUCACCAAGGCGACGAUCUGUAGCUGGUCUGAGAGGACGACCAGCCACACUGGGACUGAGACACGGCCCAGACUCCUACGGGAGGCAGCAGUGGGGAAUUUUGGACAAUGGGCGCAAGCCUGAUCCAGCCAUGCCGCGUGCGGGAAGAAGGCCUUCGGGUUGUAAACCGCUUUUGUCAGGGAAGAAAUCCUUUGGGUUAAUACCUCGGGGGGAUGACGGUACCUGAAGAAUAAGCACCGGCUAACUACGUG
rnacentral:rRNA from 1 species